UCUGUAAAUUGAAACAGAAUGCGUUAGUCUUACUAGUGUGAUUUCAAUUUAUCUUACUUGAUCAUUUCCAAGCAUCGGAAGCAUAAGUAUACGUUAUAUGUACAUGAGAAUACGCAACGUUUAAGGAUAUUGAUCUUUGAUCGCUCGGUUGUUUCUAGCAAUCGACCCGUUUAUAAGAUAAUUAUCGUUUAAGGCCAAUAUCUCGAAUCUCGAGUUCUUCCCGUCAAUCAAUCUAUUUAUAUUACUUAUUUUUCCAGUCACUCAUAUACCAAGAAAUUCUAAAUAUAUCCAACACGCGCAAGAAGGAUCACUCUAUGCAUUUUGAUCAUUUGAUUGAUUGAAACCUAGUGUAUCUCUUAUUCUUCGAAGGGAAACGUCCGUAUAAAUCUUUAAGAAAUUUCAUUCGAUUCGAAACUUAUACGUAUUCUUUCCUUUUUCAAGGUUAGAAGAAAUGAGUAGCGUGCCAUCACGUGUACCACAGUCGACGUACAGAAACGUAAUCGGAGUGGAAUGGCAUUCAGUUGAAAUAUCGACACACAAUUUACGUCAAGAAUGUCCGCCACCAACCAAUUGAUACCAAUUCCGUCCGUUGUGCAAUUGGCGUCGCUUGACACCAGUUUAUUUAAACGCAUGCGCUAUUUAUCACGCUAAACAUCGUAUUCUGUGAACGGCCAUGUCGUGUAAAAGGUUGUGGAUCAAGGUAAUGAUGCUUCUCAUCUAAUCCGGAACUGUAUUUAAUCAUUCUUUCUUUAUUUGCAUAAUUCAUUGUUAUUAUAUUCACGUUUAAUGAUCUCAGCAAUAUACGAGAGGAAGAAUUCGUCGCUUAUCGAAUUUCAGGGAAAAUGGAGGAUUUGUCACAUGACGCGCAAAUACCGUGAUUCAGCGAUGACAAAAACGAUAAUAAAACAGACAUUCCCGAAUGCACGAAGUUACCACAUGCAAAAUGAAUGUAACGAAUUAUUGGACCACGAUAAACAAUCACAUCUCAACAAAAUCUUGUCGAAAUAGAUCGUGAAUGAAGUUUGCAAAUACGAUAUUGCUAAGUAAUCAAAUCUUUAUUCGGGGUUAUCGAAAUCUGACAUUUUCUUUAAAACAGUAAACACUUAGAUUUGUCAAAGUCUCGAUUCUAGAUCUUUAAAAAUAAUCUAGUGUUUUUAUAGUAUUUAUUAUAUAUUGUAUAUUAUAUAAUACACAUUAUAUAAUAAUAUAGCAUAAUACAACAUAAAUUCUUCAAAUAUUGAAACUCUCAAUCCUCGUUUUUUACUAGUUCUCAUUGUCAAAGGAAAAUUGAAACUGAACUAUAAAUAACAAGAAAAACUAUAAAAACAUCUCAAAUUUCUUCAGCGUUUUCCUUAAACGUGGUAUAUUUUAAUUGGAAAUUUCUCCGAGAUAGGAAGAAAAAGUAAUAUGAAAAGAAAUGAAUACUUUGAUAUUCCAUUGAAUAUAGGAAACUGGUUAGAACCAGAAUGACGCGUGCUGUGCGUAGUCAUACGCGCGCCAUAGAUAAAUUAGUGUUACUUAAGAGAAAUGCGCGUAAACUGUACGAGAUUCGCGUGGAAACUCAUCCUUCUUGAGUCAAAUAAUUUAAAUGAAAAACGCAAAAAUAAAGCAAAAAUGGAAAAAAAGAAAUCGACUGAAUGAGUCAACCAUUCGAGAAGAUAGAAAUAAAUUUCGUAGGGGAAAGAAGAGAGAGAAGCAUCAAAUCUGCAAUUUAGAUAACAUCUCGUCAUUAUGUAUUUGCAAACUCUGUUCCUGCGGAUAUAUAUGCUCGAAGAUUUUAGAAUUCUCUAAAGCUUAAAGAAAAGAAGAACAGUGAUAUAGUUUACCUGCACUUUAGUUGGGCAUUCUCUCCACGUCGAAUAGAGCCGAGUUCCAAACUAGAGUUGGAGGCGUCUGAAUCGCUGUGCACUGGGCUCGGUGGGCCACCGUUCGUCAAACCAUCAGGCGACACUCCCAAACCCGGCAACGCGUUCGAUGGGGAAGUUCCGAGUUCUUCCUCGACCGGCAUGCUUCGCGGCCAAACCGGAAGGUCUAGCGGUGCUUGCUGAUGCAGGCUGAGGCUCCCGUAGUAGUUGAUGUUUGGGCUAGUCGGGUAACCGGAAAUCGGGCUGUAAAAACCCGGUAUCGUUCCUAGCAACGUGCCAGGAUAACGAACGGAGCCGUACCCACCAACGUGGCUUGGCAUUCUACCCGGGACGUAAACGAUCAUUUUUAUUCUCUUUUUUUUUUGUAUUUUCUUUUUCGUUAAUCGAAUUCGACCAGAAACGUGCAAAUUUCCCCUUUAUAAAAUUUUUAGACUUUCAAUCAAAGAGAAUUUUUGUGAAAGUAUGGUAUCGAUUGUGUUUCACUUUGAUGUGAAAAAUUUUUACGAAUAGAUUUGAAAGGUUGACAAUAUUUUCGUUAUUUCAAAUCAAUAAUUUAAUCUUGCGUUUCAUCGGCUGCUAUGUAUCUAUCCGAUUGAUUCGUAUCACCUCUUUAUAGAUUAAAAUUCGUUUUCUUCUUUCGCGAUUUUUUUAUCGCGUUUUCGAAAGUGUUUCGAAAACGGCGGACGUCUCCUCGUUUCCUCAGACCGUAUCAAGGGUAGGAAACGAUCGACGCAUGGAUCGAAAAUCGCGAACAAGACUUUCCAGGUCUUGCCGGUCCCUUUCUCUGUGUUCGAUCCCUCUAUCCUCCGAACUAUCCGUUCCCAACAAGUCGAACACGGCACAGUACGCUCACGUAUACACUCUCGCCGUAGCGCACACCCUUUUAUCACACUUAGUCCGAGUCCGUAUCGUCAGAUGUACUUGAACCGAUUCGACUUGAGUAUACGGUAGCUCAGGAAUUGUUUGCUGUACUCGAUCGAGAACAUAACUAGGCUGGCCCGCAACAGAUUCAUCAAACGUGGGUACUCUUUCUUCACGGUGGCCGUCGUCUUUCUAGAACGAUAUUUCAAAUCCAAUCCGCAAUUCUGAUAGAGCUUCGUGGCGCGCGUGGAAAAACACAAUUAAUGUUUCAGGGAUGGAGAGCGUUCGGUUUACUACCGACGCUAGAACACCGUCGCCUUCAUCUUUUUUUAGUUCUUUCUAUUAUCCCUCUGUUUUGACCUGUGUAUAAAUUGCAACUCUAAAGCUUAGCUUUCCUUAUCUUUCAGCAAAUAUCUUGGAGCGUGAUGAUCGAAGUUGUGUAGGGAUGACGAUGAAUCGCGUACAACGGUGGUCAAGACGUAUAUCGAUGACACUCGA